UCCUCUUUGACACAUGUCAGCAUUUGGUUGGCUAUGAGAAGAUAGCACUAUCUUCUCCCAACCACUCACACAUGGACACAUGUCCCACUUACCCUCUCUCUUCCUUUUUCCUUUCUUUUCUUUUCUUUUUCUCCUCUUUUUCGGUGGACACCAGCAGCCCCCUUCUCCUUGUCUUUUCCUUUUUUCCUUUCUUUCCUCUCUCUCUUUCCCCUCACGCACGUUCUUUUCUUUUUCUUCUUCAUUUUUCCUUUUCUUUCUUCUUUCUUCCCCUCGUCUCCUCCAUUUCCGCAUGCUGCUCUCCUCUUCCCCCUUUUCUCUCUUCCUCUCUUCUCCACGCACGCCCAAUAAGAAGAAAAACAUAGAGAGAUCGUGAGAGAGAAAGUGACCCAGUCCGUAAGAGUGAUGCAGUCCGAGAAUUAGAAGGGGAUUUUGGUGAUUUCUGGCCAUUGGUGGAUGAGGAGCAAAUCCUGUAUUUUUAAGGAUAGUGUCCGGAUUGGAGACUUCAAUGGGUUCUCCAAUGUAGAGUUCGAGUUGGAGUCCAAUGCAGCCAAGAUGUAGUUUCUUUGGCUGCAGGUAUUCUGGUCGUAGUUGAUGAUGUUGUAGAAGGGCACUUUGGAUAUUAUGACUGAAGCACGCCGCAACGGUCGUAAUGGGUGGACCACAGGUUGUCCACUUGUUUAUAGGUUUAGUUUAUGGCUUGUGACGUUUGUGUCACUUGUUCUUGUAAAGCCAUUUCCGUUAUGUAAUUAUAUUGAGAAAAGACUUAAACAGAUAGAUGUAAUAUGGCUCUUUGUUUAUGAUUAUUUGUAAUAGAAAUUAUGUUAUGAUUUC